AUUGAACGCUGGCGGCAUGCUUUACACAUGCAAGUCGAACGGCAGCGCGGGCUUCGGCCUGGCGGCGAGUGGCGAACGGGUGAGUAAUGCAUCGGAACGUGCCCAGUAGUGGGGGAUAGCCCGGCGAAAGCCGGAUUAAUACCGCAUACGACCUGAGGGUGAAAGCGGGGGACCGAAAGGCCUUCCGCCCUUGCGCCGGCCGAUGUCGGAUUAGCUAGUUGGUGGGGUAAAGGCUUACCAAGGCGACGAUCCGUAGCUGGUCUUAGAGGACGAGCAGCCACACUGGGACUGAGACACGGCCCAGACUCCUACGGGAGGCAGCAGUGGGGAAUUUUGGACAAUGGGGGCAACCCUGAUCCAGCCAUGCCGCGUGCGGGAAGAAGGCCUUCGGGUUGUAAACCGCUUUUGUUCGGGAAGAAAUGCUCUGGGCUAAUACCCCGGGGGGCUGACGGUACCGGAAGAAUAAGCACCGGCUAACUACGUG
rnacentral:rRNA from 1 species